CACGUAGGGGGCGAGCGUUGUCCGGAUUUAUUGGGCGUAAAGAGCUCGUAGGCGGUUCGGCAAGUCGGGUGUGAAAUUUCGAGGCUCAACCUCGAAACGCCACUCGAUACUGCUGUGACUGGAGUCCGGUAGAGGAGUGCGGAAUUCCUGGUGUAGCGGUGAAAUGCGCAGAUAUCAGGAGGAACACCGGUGGCGAAGGCGGCUCACUGGACCGGUACUGACGCUGAGGCACGAAAGCGUGGGGAGCAAACAGGA
rnacentral:rRNA from 1 species